rnacentral:rRNA from 1 species
GACGAACGCUGGCGGUGUGCUUAACACAUGCAAGUCGAACGAGACGGGAUGGAAGGAGCCUUCGGGUGACGGAAAUCCUAGAAAGUGGCGAACGGGUGAGUAACGCGUGGGUAACCUGCCCUAUGGAAAGGAAUAGCCUCGGGAAACUGGGAGUAAUGCCUUAUAAUAUAUCGAAGUCGCAUGGCUUUGAUAUUAAACGCUCCGGUGCCAUAGGAUGGACCCGCGUCCCAUUAGCUAGUUGGGGAGAUAACAGCCCACCAAGGCGACGAUGGGUAACCGGUCUGAGAGGGCGAACGGUCACACUGGAACUGAGACACGGUCCAGACUCCUACGGGAGGCAGCAGUGGGGAAUAUUGCGCAAUGGGGGCAACCCUGACGCAGCAAUACCGCGUGAGUGAAGAAGGUUUUCGGAUCGUAAAGCUCUGUUAUUGGGGAAGAAAAAAGACGGUACCCAAGAAGAAAGUCCCGGCUAACUACGUGCCAGCAGCCGCGGUAACAC